GCUCUCACUCUCAUGAGACUGCAGAAAGGGCGCAGCGGAGCCAAAGCGACGCGUCGCCCUCCUAUGACAACAGACAACCAAAAUACCACGACCACAACCACAACCAGAACCACGACCAGUAAUGCCGGCCGCACACCACACUCACCACACCCUCAUCAUCACAAGCACCAUCAACAGGAUCACAAUGCAGGGGAUGAGUCACAAUAACGUGGCUGAAGUAUGUUGACCAAUCCACACACUAGAAAGUGAAGGGACGACGACGUUUCGGUCCGUCCUGGACCAUUCUCAAGUCGAUUGAUCGACUUGAGACCGAAACGUCGUCGUUCCUUCAUUUUCUAGUGUGUGGAUUGUUGAGACCGAAACGUCGUCGUCCCUUCAUUUUCUAGUGUGUGGAUUGGUCAACAACAGGAUCACAACACCAGCUAGGAAAUAGGUUUAUUUAAUUUAUUUAUUGUACACAGGAAGGUACAACGGGUUAUGAAUGUACAUACAUCGGUUUGUAUAUACAUUCAUACAAAUGUACAUACAUUCUUGCAAAGUCACUAACACGCAUGGCAUUCUGGCCACGUCUCAAAGCUAAAAGACAGAAUUUGCAGUAAAAAAUCAAUUACAAGGUGAAACAAUCCAUUGCGAACAGAAAUAUAUGUAGAGACAGGUACAUAAUGACAGUAUUUUACUUCACAUAAUUACUAGAUUAAUAUAAAGCGCAGAUAAUAAGUAAAGUGAUGUAGUUGUAUUUCUAGAUUGUAAAGAAUAAGGUGAUUGUGACAGCAGGUGAUUGUGACAGCAGGUGAUUGUGGCAGCAGGUGAUUGUGGCAGCAGGUGAUUGUGGCAGCAGGUGAUUGUGACAGCAGGUGAUUGUGACAGCAGGUGAUCGUGACAGCAGGUGAUUGUGACAGCAGGUGAUUGUGGCAGCAGGUGAUUGUGACAGCAGGUGAUUGUGGCAGCAGGUGAUUGUGGCAGCAGGUGAUUGUGACAGCAGGUGAUUGUGACAGCAGGUGAUUGUGGCAGCAGGUGAUUGUGGCAGCAGGUGAUUGUGGCAGCAGGUGAUUGUGACAGCAGGUGAUUGUGGCAGCAGGUGAUUGUGACAGCAGGUGAUUGUGACAGCAGGUGUUUCGGGCAACAUCCUGAAACGCUGAUACCAGUUUUUACCACUCUGUUAUAUGCGUCACAAGAUGCCACAACGUUUUGCGUGACAUGUCUAUUGUACUAACGCCGUUUGCGUCACGUGUCGACAUGACUAACAAUAAUUGCGUCACACACAAACAAACCGCAACACCGUGUCACCAUCAAGGGCCCCUGUAACUCAUCAUCUAUAAAUACAGCAUCCUAAGAUAUUGCGUAUGAUCUACAUUCUACAGCCACGACAACAUAUACAUACACAGUGGUAUACCCCCCCCCCCGCUUCUCGGUGUAUAUACCGAGAGUAUACAAAAGUAUAACUCCUGAUUGAUCAGCAAGAAAUUGUGGUGGCCUAUCCUCAAUCAUCCAUACCUGCACAAAGAGGAUUUAUAAUAGAUUAUAAUGUAUUAUUAUAUGAGUAUCCGGCAACCUUUUGUUGUAAUCCGGUUACUACGCAUCAGUUCCCGCGCACCCUCCCGGAGGGCAUGUAAGGAGGUGCAUGCGGCGGUUUCUGGUUCAGUGUGAGCCAGUCCGAGGUAGGGGUCACAGCGUCCUCCCCCCAGGCAAACGACACGUAUAGCUGCCACGUACAAACACCAACCACACGUCCACGGUCAAGAUGGUGAAGCCAAAAGACCACCCAGACCACGGCUUAGAGGCAGUGGAGACGACAGUGCGCACAUGCGCAGCCAACAGCAACAACGACUCCAGCGACAGCGACAGCAGCAGCAGCAGCAGCAGCAGCGGUCACAGCCACAGCUCAGGCGGAGGUGGCCACUCUUCAGACAAGAAGAAGAAGAAGAAGAAGAAGGACAAGAAGAAGGGUGACCACAAGCACUAACUACACGCCAGCGCCAUCUAGUUCCUGUAUAUGUUACUGAACCACUAGUGUCUUGUCCGACCCCCAGCGCCAUCUACAUGUUGAGAUGCUGAACGUGUUACUUAACGUUCAGCAGCUAGAUAGAUAGCGAUGGGUCGACUGCCACUCUCUCUCUCUCUCUCUCUCUCUCUCUCUCUCUCUCUCUCUCUCUCUCUCUCUCUCUCUCUCUCUCUCUCUCUCUCUCUCUCUCUCUCUCUCUCUCUCUCUCUCUCUUGAGUCCUUACUGAAUGAGCCGCUUGUGGGCUAUUUCAGUAAUAACUUGUGGCCAAUAUUUGUUGACGUUUUGUUCUGUCACUAGACGGUUCUAAUGUAUACAGAAAGGUGUACCCAACCUCUCGGUGUAUAUAUAUACACUCAGAGUUUACUUUUAGUCAUGAACUCUUUAUCACAACUAAAGUAUACUUUAGUUACUAUAUAGACAUAUUCCUUGUUAUUAAUAAAUAUUCCAAUAUUAUUUUAAAAAAUUUGUGUUAAAACCAAUUAAAUGUUUAAGUAAAAAUAAAAUAAAAAAAUAUAUAAUUGCAA